rnacentral:rRNA from 1 species
GUCUACAGCCAUACCACCCUGAACACGCCUGAUCUCAUCUAAUCUCAGAAGCUAAGCAGGGUCGGGCCUGGUUAGUACUUGGAUGGGAGAAACCAGGGGACA